rnacentral:rRNA from 1 species
CCACGGGGGGCCUACGGGAGGCAGCAGUGGGGAAUAUUGGACAAUGGGCGAAAGCCUGAUCCAGCCAUGCCGCGUGUGUGAAGAAGGUCUUCGGAUUGUAAAGCGACUUUAAGUUGGGAGGAAGGGUUAGUUUACUUUUAUAUUUAUCGGU